rnacentral:rRNA from 1 species
AUUGAACGCUGGCGGCGUGCUUAACACAUGCAAGUCGUGCGGUAACAGGCGUAGCAAUACGUGCUGACGAGCGGCGAACGGGUGCGUAAUACAUGGGAAUCUACCUUUUAGUGGGGAAUAACCCGGCGAAAGCCGGGCUAAUGCCGCAUAAGAUCUUCGGAUGAAAGCGGGGGAGUCGUAAGACCUCGCGCUGAUAGAUGAGCCCACUGCCGGAUUAGCUAGUUGGGAGGUAACGGCUCACCAAGGCGACGAUCCGUAGCUGGUCUGAGAGGACGGCCAGCCACACUGGGACGUGAGACACGGCCC